UAGCUGGUAGCUUAAUGAUAGAGCAAUAGAAUACGAAUCUAUACAUGAAAGUUCAAAUCUUUCCUAGCUCA